AUUGAACGCUGGCGGCAUGCCUUACACAUGCAAGUCGAACGGCGGCACGGGGGCAACCCUGGUGGCGAGUGGCGAACGGGUGAGUAAUACAUCGGAACGUGCCCAGUAGUGGGGGAUAGCCCGGCGAAAGCCGGAUUAAUACCGCAUGCGACCUACGGGUGAAAGCGGGGGAUCGCAAGACCUCGCGCUGUUGGAGCGGCCGAUGUCAGAUUAGGUUGUUGGUGGGGUAAAGGCCUACCAAGCCGACGAUCUGUAGCUGGUCUGAGAGGACGACCAGCCACACUGGGACUGAGACACGGCCCAGACUCCUACGGGAGGCAGCAGUGGGGAAUUUUGGACAAUGGGGGCAACCCUGAUCCAGCCAUGCCGCGUGCGGGAAGAAGGCC
rnacentral:rRNA from 1 species